UCCAGACUCCUACGGGAGGCAGCAGUGAGGAAUAUUGGUCAAUGGGCGCGAGCCUGAACCAGCCAAGUCGCGUGAGGGAUGACGGCCCUACGGGUUGUAAACCUCUUUUGCCGGGGAGCAACGGGCGCCACGUGUGGCGCCACUGAGAGUACCCGGAGAAAAAGCAUCGGCUAACUCCGUGCCAGCAGCCGCGGUAAUACGGAGGAUGCGAGCGUUAUCCGGAUUUACUGGGUGUAAAGGGAGCGUAGACGGUUACGCAAGUCUGGAGUGAAAGGCGGGGGCCCAACCCCCGGACUGCUUUGGAAACUGUAUAACUGGAGUGCAGGAGAGGUAAGUGGAAUUCCUAGUGUAGCGGUGAAAUGCGUAGAUAUUAGGAGGAACACCAGUGGCGAAGGCGGCUUACUGGACUGUAACUGACGUUGAGGCUCGAAAGCGUGGGGAGCAAACAGGAUUAGAUACCCGAGUACG
rnacentral:rRNA from 1 species